AGAGUUUGAUCCUGGCUCAGAAUGAACGCUGGCGGCAUGGAUUAGGCAUGCAAGUCGAACGGUGAAGCCUAGCUUGCUAGGUGGAUCAGUGGCGAAAGGGUGAGUAACACGUGAGUAAUCUGCCCUGAAGUUUGGGAUAGCCCUGGGAAACUGGGAUUAAUACCAAAUGUGGCGGUCUUCACAUAUGUGAGGAUUGGCCGAAGGCUUCGGUCGCUUCAGGAUGGGCUCGCGUCCCAUCAGCUAGUUGGUGAGGUAAUGGCUCACCAAGGCAAUGACGGGUAGGUGGUCUGAGAGGAUGGUCACCCACACUGGGACUGAGACACUGCCCAGACUCCUACGGGAGGCUGCAGUCGAGAAUCUUCCGCAAUGCGCGAAAGCGUGACGGAGCAAUGCCGCGUGAAGGAUGAAGGCCCUCGGGUCGUAAACUUCUGUCACUCGGGAUGAAUUUUGACAGUACCGAGAGAGGAAGCCACGGCUAACUACGUGCCAGCAGCCGCGGUAAUACGUAGGUGGCGAGCGUUAUUCGGAUUUAUUGGGCGUAAAGGGUUCGUAGGGGGUUGGCUAAGUCGGACGUGAAAGCCUGCGGCUCAACCGCAGAAAGCCGUUCGAUACUGGUUGACUAGAGGAUCGGAGAGGUAGGUGGAAUUCCUGGUGUAGCGGUGGAAUGCAUAGAUAUCAGGAGGAACACCGACGGCGAAGGCAGCCUACUGGACGAUACCUGACCCUGAGGAACGAAAGCCGGGGGAGCAAACAGGAUUAGAUACCCUGGUAGUCCCGGCCGUAAACGUUGUAGACUCGGUGUAGGAGGAGUUAGUCCCUUCUGUGCCUAAGCUAACGCGAUAAGUCUACCGCCUGGGGAGUACGGCGGCAACGCUAAAACUCAAAGGAAUUGACGGGGGCCCGCACAAGCGGUGGAGCAUGUGGCUUAAUUCGAGGCAACGCGAAGAACCUUACCUGGGUUUGACAUAUAUCUGACCGCCAUGGAAACAUGGUUUCUCUUCGGAGCGGAUAUACAGGUGCUGCAUGGCUGUCGUCAGCUCGUGCCGUGAGGUGUUCGGUUAAGUCCGGCAACGAGCGCAACCCGUGUGUCCAGUUACCAGCACGUUAUGGUGGGGACUCUGGACAGACUGCCCGUGUCAAGCGGGAGGAAGGCGCGGACGACGUCAAGUCAGUAUGGCCCUUACAUCCAGGGCUGCACACGUGCUACAAUGGCAGGUAUAAUGGGCAGCAACAUCGUGAGAUGGAGCAAAUCCUUAAACCCUGCCCCAGUUCGGAUUGUAGUCUGCAACUCGACUACAUGAAGUCGGAAUCGCUAGUAAAGGCGUAUCAGCAUUGACGCCUUGAAUACGUUCCCGGGCCUUGUACACACCGCCCGUCACAUCAUGGAAGCUGGAUGAACCCGAAGUCGUUGACCCAACCGCAAGGAGGGAGGCGCCGAAGGUGUGUCUAGUGACUGGGAUGAAGUCGUAACAAGGUAACCGUA
rnacentral:rRNA from 1 species